rnacentral:rRNA from 1 species
GGACUACAAGGGUUUCUAAUCCUGUUUGCUCCCCACGCUCUCGCGCCUCAGUGUCAGUAGCUGUCCAGGUAGCCGCCUUCGCCACCGGUGUUCCUUCCGAUCUCUACGCAUUUCACCGCUACACCGGAAAUUCCACUACCCUCUACAGUACUCUAGCUUACCAGUCAUCGUUGCAGUUCCUAGGUUAAGCCCAGGGAUUUCACAACAAUCUUAAUAAACCACCUACGCGCCCUUUACGCCCAGUAAUUCCGAUUAACGCUCGCACCCUCUGUAUUACCGCGGCUGCUGGCAC